rnacentral:rRNA from 1 species
GUGGGGAAUUUUGGACAAUGGGCGCAAGCCUGAUCCAGCAAUGCCGCGUGUGUGAAGAAGGCCUUCGGGUUGUAAAGCACUUUUGUCCGGAAAGAAAUGGCCUGGGUUAAUACCCCGGGUCGAUGACGGUACCGGAAGAAUAAGCACCGGCUAACUACGUGCCAGCAGCCGCGGUAAUACGUAGGGUGCGAGCGUUAAUCGGAAUUACUGGGCGUAAAGCGUGCGCAGGCGGCGAUGCAAGACAGAUGUGAAAUCCCCGGGCUCAACCUGGGAACUGCAUGUGUGACUGAAUGGCUAGAGUGCGUCAGAGGGGGGUGGAAUUCCGCGUGUAGCAGUGAAAUGCGUAGAUAUGCGGAGGAACACCGAUGGCGAAGGCAGUCCCCUGGGCCUGUACUGACGCUCAUGCACGAAAGCGUGGGGAGCAAACAGGAUUAGAUACCCUAGUAGUCC